UACGAAGGAGGCGAGCGUUGUUCGGAAUUACUGGGCGUAAAGGGCGCGUAGGCGGCCUGUUAAGUCGAACGUGAAAUCCCCGGGCUCAACCCGGGAACUGCGUCCGAUACUGGCAGGCUUGAAUCCGGGAGAGGGAUGUGGAAUUCCAGGUGUAGCGGUGAAAUGCGUAGAUAUCUGGAGGAACACCGGUGGCGAAGGCGACAUCCUGGACCGGUAUUGACGCUGAGGCGCGAAAGCCAGGGGAGCAAACGGG
rnacentral:rRNA from 1 species